rnacentral:rRNA from 1 species
UACGUAGGGGGCUAGCGUUGUCCGGAUUUAUUGGGCGUAAAGAGCGUGUAGGCGGCCAGGUAGGUCUGCUGUGAAAACUCGAGGCUCAACCUCGAGACGUCGGCGGAAACCAUCUGGCUAGAGUCCGGAAGAGGAGAGUGGAAUUCCUGGUGUAGCGGUGAAAUGCGCAGAUAACAGGAAGAACACCCGUGGCGAAGGCGGCUCUCUGGGACGGUACUGACGCUGAGACGCGAAAGCGUGGGGAGCGAACAGG